AUUUUGUUGAUAUGUCUGCCGCUGGUUUUUAAUGAUUAUUUCUGCGGGUUUUAGUGUUUCAGAGAGACUGUCCUCCCGUGGUGUGGCCUGAUGGAAAACCCCAGAGACCUGGUGGAGCGUCUGUCCAGGAAGCGCCGGGACUCCUUUGGGAUGUUGGACGGCUUGGAGGAGGACCGGAGCAGCUGCAGCACCGAGUCCAGCGGAGGUAGCGGAGCCUCCAGCCCCGAGGACAGCGAGGACGAAGACUUAGGAGGAGGAGGAGGAGGAGGAGGAGGGGUGACUCAACUCACCCCCACCUCCUCCUCCUCCUCCUCCUCCCUGACACUCAUCAAGACCAAUGGACAGGUGUACACCUAUCCUGACGGGAAGGCAGGCAUGGCGACGUGUGAGAUGUGUGGUAUGGUGGGAGUCAGAGAUGCCUUCUACAGUAAAACCAAACGUUUCUGCAGCGUCUCCUGCUCCAGAAGUUACUCCUCCAACUCCAAGAAGGCCAGCAUCCUCGCCAGGCUGCAGGGGAAGCCUCCCACUAAAAAGGCCAAGGUUCUUCAGAAACAGCCUCUGAUGACCAAACUAGCUGCCUACGCUCAGCAUCAAGCCAACCAGCAGAGUGGUGUCAAAAAGAGCGUUCUUGUGGAGGUGUUUGACUGGGGUCGUUAUCUCGGAGAUGGAGAUGUGACGGGAGCGCCGGUCAACUGCUUCAAACAUGUCCCGAUGGGGAAGUCGUGGGCCGACAUCGGUGAAGGCGUUCGGGUCGAGGUCCCGAACACUGACAGUGGUCUGCCGAUGAAGGUUUACUGGAUCGCUGGCAUCAUUAAACUGGCUGGUUUUAAAGCCCUUCUGCGGUACGAAGGUUUCGACAGCGACUCCGCCAGAGAUUUCUGGUUGAACCUGUGCGUGCCGGACAUCCACCCGGUCGGCUGGUGUGCUGCUGGAGGAAAACCUCUGGUCCCCCCUCAGACCAUCCUGCACAGGUUCACCAACUGGAAGAACUUCCUGAUUAAAAGACUGACGGGAUCCAAAACACUGCCGCCGGAUUUCACCUCCAAGGUGCAGGAGAGUAUGCAGUUUCCCUUUAAGAAGCAAAUGAGGGUGGAGGUGGUGGAUAAGACUCACCUGUGUCGGACUCGGGUUGCUCUGGUCGAACAGGUGAUCGGCGGUCGUCUCCGCCUGGUGUACGAGGAGUGCGAUGACGGGACGGAUGACUUCUGGUGUCACAUGUACAGUCCCCUGAUCCACAGCAUCGGCUGGUCUCGAUCCAUCGGACACCGCUUCAAACGAUCCGAUGUGUCGAAGAAGCUGGACGGUCAGGUGGACGCUCCUGGACAGCUGUUUGCCAAGGUGAAGGAGGUGGAUCAGAGUGGUCCCUGGUUUGAGGACGGGAUGAAGCUGGAGGCCAUCGACCCUCUGAAUCUGUCUGCCAUCUGUGUGGCCACAGUCAGGAAGGUCCUGGCUGACGGGUAUCUGAUGAUCGGCAUCGAUGGUUCGGAGGCGGCCGACGGUUCAGACUGGUUCUGUUAUCACUCCACCUCUCCCUCCAUCUUCCCCGCCGGCUUCUGCGAGAUCAACAACAUUGAGCUGACCCCCCCCAGAGGUUACACAAAUCUCCCCUUCAGGUGGUUUGAGUAUCUGAAGGAAAGCAAGUCUGUGGCUGCCCCGGUCAACCUCUUCAACAAGGACGUCCCCAACCACGGUUUCCGUCCCGGUAUGAAGCUGGAGGCCGUGGACCUCAUGGAGCCUCGGCUAGUGUGUGUUGCCACGGUGACCCGCAUCGUCCACCGGUUGCUACGGAUUCACUUCGACGGCUGGGAGGACGAGUACGACCAGUGGGUGGACUGCGAGUCACCCGACCUGUACCCGGUCGGGUGGUGUCAGCUGACUGGAUACCAGCUGCAGCCUCCUGCCGUUAACGCAGGUUCCAGAGAACUACAGUCAGCAGCGUCCAAACAGAGGAAGAAAUCCCAACAGUACAAGGGCCAAAAGAAAAAGAGGAAGUUGCCCAUCGCUAAGCGACCUGUCAGCCUCUCCGGCGCCGUGGUAACAGGUGUCCCCAGGAACCUAUCAGGAGACGAGAACGAGACUCCGCCAGAUUACCCAUCACCGCCUACUCCUGCCUCAGCAGCCCAACCCCUCUCUGCAGACCCAGAGAGCAGCCCUAAUACCGAGACGGGGGCAGGUUCACAGAUUAAAGAGGAGAACGCUGAAGGGACAGAGUUAUGUUCUGAAAGGACUGAAACAGAAACCAACGGAUCCUCUGGAGAUUUCCUCACAAACCAGGACCAGUAGUAGGCCUCAUCCAUCCCUCUCUGCCUAUAACACUCCAUCCAUCCAUUCUUCUCUUUUCUAGAAUUAUGAGUUUCAAGCCUCGUGAAAUUAUCUACUGUGAUGAAAUCAGAUUUAUUUUUUAUUUUUUGGACACAGUUUAAACCUGCUACAACCUAUGAAAUUGUUGGCAAUAUUUUAGAGGGCAGUUCGUAAAAACCUUUAAUGACUUCAGCUGACUGCCCUCCGCGCACUGCGGCGAUACCACUUCUCUUUGGUCAAAAACCCAUUGUUAGCCUGUGCGAGCACGUCAUUGUCCAGUCCUGCUGACGGUUCUCCAUCCGUCCAUCCACAGUUUUAACUCCUCAGUGUUCUCUUCCCUCUUUCUCUUAGUGCCCGGGCAGACCAGAAUUCAUUCACACACAUUCACGAAAAUUCGAGUUUGCGUCGGAAGCUCGGCGAUGCAGUCAGAGACGUAGCUACCAUUUAGGACAAUGAGCCCUUGGUGGCACUUUGGGGUUUUUAGCAACCGUGCGGGGGAAUUUACAUUCUACAUUUUAAAUCUUAAUAUUGGGUGAAUGAUAUCCAUAUUGUUUAGAAUAACUAUAUUUAAACUGACCACUUUCGGGUCACCAAAAGAGAAGGAUUUAGCAGUUCCGCACAAGUAGGUAACUCCUAAAACUUAAAUCAAAAUGGAUAACACUUUACUUAACCCUAUUCAGCACUUACAAUCAGUAUAUAAACACUAGUUAAAUGUUUUACAGAGUAUAAUGUAGCUGUAAUCAGAUCCAAGUAUUUAUUAACGUCUAUGUUAGCAACUCUAACGCCUCCUGUGGACACAGGUCAGUGGAGGCUGCUGGAUGAACAGACAAUGAACGACUUUUGAGAAUACUAUAGUUAGUAAGUCAACCGGUAACCUUAACCACCCACUUCAUCAAAUCAUACCAGGGCUCUAGUUGGGAACAUGCUAGUUCUACCCGAGGCAGAGUAGCCUACUAGCUAGCCGCCUUGCUAACUGCCAGUUAAAGCUAGCUAGCUCUACAGUCUAGAGGACUGACACCAGCCAAAUCAUUUUGUUGUAUAAAAUGAUGAUAAAUAUUGAAAAACAGCCAUUAUAAAUUCUCAUAGUCCAAGGUGACGUCUUCAGAUGUCUUGCUUUUGUCCAACCAGCAGUCCAAAACCCAAAGAUACACACUCACACUAACGUGUGACAAAGAAACAACAACCUAACAUCUGAAAAGUUAGAAACAGAAAAUAUUUUACAUUUGUUUGACAUCUGUUUAAUCUGUUUAUUCAGAGCUAAAGGGCUGUAGCUAGGAGCAUGCUAGCUCUAGCCAGCCACAAUAGGCCACCAAGCUAGCCAGCUAAUUAUGAUGCUAGCUCGUUAACAGUAUAAAAAGUAAACACCGUCUAUUCAAGAGAUAAUGUUUUUACAAAGAUUAUUUAGGAGCGACUCGCUGUAUUUCUCUGGAUUGAUUUUGAGCUGUCAUUAAUGGUGGCCUGACUGACCCCUCACUCUUCAUGUCCCCAACUCCCUCUUGUUAUCUCUCUCUUUGGUUUUCCCGAGAACAAAAAUACCCUUUCACAACUUUGAUUAAAUAGCCACGUGGGGGAAAGUGGUCCUACUGCUGCCUGGAGAUUCACUACACACCCAUAGACUCUUCUGAGAGAGCAAACUGGGCAAUGAAGACCAGAAUACAGAAACAAAAGAAGAAGAAAAAGAAUGUAAAGGAGGACGGACGCAGUAGCGUUAACCUUUGGCUCCUCUAAGAAAAAAGGAAUCCGCAGAAGAAAAAGGACAACACAAUGGAGACAAAGGCGUGAUGGCAACGCACAAAUCAAGUGUUACAGGGCUCUUAGUAAAAAAACAAAACAAAACAAAACAUAAAGAACUUGAGGGUCUGUGUGUUUUAAACUCAACUGUGUGAGCAUGCAUCGGACUGAGCAUCUUGCACACUAAACUACUUCCACACUUGUAGUCGCACAACUGUGUGUAUGUUGUCUGUUCGUGUUUGUUGCCUUUUUGUACGUGAAUCUCCUAUAAUGUCAAACUGUCUUAUUCGUAUUAUGGUGCUAUCUAUAGAUGAUAUAUAUAUACACAUUUGAUAAUGUUUCUAUGGAAUGAUUUUGACAAACCGUCUUGUGACCCUGGUGAAGAAGUUGUUCUUGUAUUUUGGAAGCAGCUGUUUGCAAUAGAUUUUGUAUAAGGAGAAAAUGAGUGAUGUGUGUUUUGAAGGGGAAAACUGCUCAAUUUAGAGGAUCGACGUAUGCUGUGACCCGAGUUGAUGACUCGAGUCCUUAAAUUCAGUGGUCUUCUCUGUCAGUUUGUGGUGUUUUGUGUGUAUGUCAGCAAUGGGAAGGAGGAUUUUAUGGGUUUUUUAGGAUUUUUGUGGGUUUCAAAGUGACUUACUAAAUGGCAGUGUUUUCUUAGACUGUGGGGUUUGGGACCCAAAGACAAAAAAUAAUGUUUUAAUGAUUCUAGAAGUCGCGACUGUCAGUGGUUGCUUUUUAGUUUUCUAUACUUGUUAAUCUUGUGACAGUUUUUUCGAGGUCACAACCGAAAACAUAUCUCUUCCCUGGUGUAGAUUAAAUUAGAAAGUUUUGUUCUGUAUAUUUAUCAGACAUAGUUUAAUGGUGAUCAGGACUUUGUGUUUUCAUGGAGUCAUUCCACUCAGUCUAGAGAUAAAAUACAUCCCCAAAAGGGGACAGAUAAAAUUGACGUAUUUAACCGUCAUAGUCAAAAAAAAGUGGACAAAAGUGGAUCCACAUUUUUUCGAUAAUUAAAUCAGUGUCAGGAGUUUAAUACCUAGAGAUCAUUGGUCUGGAACCUGGUACAAAAUUUUGCACCCAAACCAAGACUGGAUCCAAGACAGGAUCAGGUACAAAAUUUUGGACAUAAUUAAGUCGAGGUUUAAUUUCUUGAGAUAAGAGAACAAAUUUUGGGUCCACAAUUGGGUCAGGUACAAAUGUUUGGACCAAUCUAGGACUUUGUCCAAGACUGGAUCAGGUACAAAGGCAGGUCGGGUCCAGAGUUUGCAGUUAAGUCUGAGUCUUAAGCAUAUUGUCUUGAGAUCAUAGACUUUUGGAAAAUUUUGGACCCGGCCCAGUCCUGGAUCAGGCAUAAAGUUUCAAAACUGGAUUGGGUACAACGUUGGAUCGGGUCAAGAGUUUAUUAUUUUGAGGUUAGAGGCCUUGGAUUGGGUUCUAAUUGUUGGAUUCCAUCCAAGGUGAGACGCAUGGAAAAACUACCCAGUCCUCAUGUGUAAAAAUGUAUUUUUAGACAAAAAGACCUGAUGUGAUAGGGACCUAAGGACAUUCAGAUAAUAUAAAAACACAUCGGUGACAUAAUCUGGAGUUUUCCAGAAUUGUCCAAUGUCAACGUUUUUGUCUUGCACAUUGACCAGAGACCUGCAGCAAUAGAUAAGGAGUGUACCAGACCUGAUUAGACACAAUAUAAUUCAGACCCUGGCGUCAUUCGUGUCCUGAACUGUUCCGUUCCUAGGAGCCAAGAGGACCUGUGAAUCUUCGAGUAACGAGCUCUAAACACAUGAUUUGUCAUCUCAGGAAAACUUAAAUCAUGAUCGCAGAAGAAAAAAUUGAGAUUACGAGGUAAUUAACCGAUCUGACAAAACUAUUAGCAACCACGGCCACUCCCAACUUCUAUAGAACUAAUUUCAAGUUAGGCAAAUGAGCCUUUGUCUUGUGUUUUCUUGCAGUCUAUAAAUGUAGACUUUUCAGUACUUCAUAGUUACCCUGCAAAACAUGCAAGACAGAGCCAUCAGAAAACAAAAAACAGAAAAGAGAAUUUUCAUAAGUCUGCAGAGCCAAAGCAAGACUGUGAAAGAUUUUUUAAAACACACCAAUGGAUAGAAAUGUGAGAUUUGAUAAAUCUGUUUGUGUCCCACACUGAUGAGGUUAAUGAAAACCUGUCGAUACUGUUAUUGUCCAUGUUGUCCACAUGUUCAUGCUGUGAACAUGAAGUUUACUGAGCUCUUAUCAAAACAUACAAAUGUUUUAAAAAUAUAUAUAGAUAUAGAUCUAUAUACUGGAAAUGUAUGACAAAAAAAUGUAGUUACGUACUGAUGUUAACUUUCAUGAAGCUUUUUUUAAUACAUUGUGCAAUUUUUGGCAGCAUGAUUGUGAAGAAAUUAUUACAUUUAGGUGUAAAAUAAACAACUCACUUUACAUUUUUUAUGCA